UACGUAGGGUGCAAGCGUUAAUCGGAAUUACUGGGCGUAAAGUGUGCGCAGGCGGCCGAGCAAGUCGAGUGUGAAAGCCCCCGAGCUUAACUUGGGAAUUGCGCUCGAAACUACUUGGCUGGAGUGUGGCAGAGGAAGGUGGAAUUCCAGGUGUAGCGGUGAAAAUGCGUAGAGAUCUGGAGGAACACCGAUGGCGAAGGCAGCCUUCUGGGCCAACACUGACGCUCAUGCACCGAAAGCGU
rnacentral:rRNA from 1 species